UACGAAGGGGGCUAGCGUUGCUCGGAAUCACUGGGCGUAAAGGGUGCGUAGGCGGGUCUUUAAGUCAGGGGUGAAAUCCUGGAGCUCAACUCCAGAACUGCCUUUGAUACUGAAGAUCUUGAGUCCGGGAGAGGUGAGUGGAACUGCGAGUGUAGAGGUGAAAUUCGUAGAUAUUCGCAAGAACACCAGUGGCGAAGGCGGCUCGCUGGGACGGUACUGACGCUGAGACGCGAAAGCGUGGGGGAGCAAACAGG
rnacentral:rRNA from 1 species